rnacentral:lncRNA from 1 species
CGGAGCUGGAAACCCGGCCGAGGUCCAGCCAGAGCCCAAGAGCCAGAGUGACCCCUCGACCUGUCAGCCAUGGGGGAGAUGGAGCAACUGCGUCAGGAAGCGGAGCAGCUCAAGAAGCAGAUUGCAGAUGCCAGGAAAGCCUGUGCUGACGUUACUCUGGCAGAGCGGGACCUGCUCUGAGCCAGGCACCAUAUUGGAUGCGAAAGAUGCGGACACGGUUCCUAUUCUCAUCCGUAGAACAAGAGUGACCACAGCCCCCUCCCAGGGCCUUGAAGAUGAAGAAGCGAUAGUACUUUCUGGUGUCUGGCCUAGAGGUGGUGGGACGAGUCCAGAUGCGGACGCGGCGGACGUUAAGGGGACACCUGGCCAAGAUUUACGCCAUGCACUGGGCCACUGAUUCUAAGCUGCUGGUAAGUGCCUCGCAAGAUGGGAAGCUGAUCGUGUGGGACAGCUACACCACCAACAAGGUGCACGCCAUCCCACUGCGCUCCUCCUGGGUCAUGACCUGUGCCUAUGCCCCAUCAGGGAACUUUGUGGCAUGUGGGGGGCUGGACAACAUGUGUUCCAUCUACAACCUCAAAUCCCGUGAG